rnacentral:rRNA from 1 species
GUGUCGUGAGAUGUACGGUUAAGUCCGCAAACGAGCGCAACCCUCAGGAGUAGUUACACGCUGUCUACUCCGACUGCCCUCGGCAAGGGGGAGGAAGGUGGGGAUGACGUCAAGUCAGCAUGGCCUUGAUAUCCAGGGCGACACACACGCUACAAUGGGCGGUACAAUGGGGAGCGAAGCGGCGACGCGGAGCCAAUCCCGAAAGCCGUUCGUAGUUCGGAUUGCAGGCUGCAACUCGCCUGCAUGAAGGUGGAGUUGCUAGUAACCGUGGGUCAGCAAACUACGGUGAAUACGUUCCCGGGCCU